AAUAAAGUAAGCUAAAAUUUAAAAGCUAGUGGGUUCAUACCCCAAAAAUGAAUAAUUUUCCUUUAUUA
rnacentral:tRNA from 2 species